rnacentral:rRNA from 1 species
UACGUAGGUGACAAGCGUUAUCCGGAAUUAUUGGGCGUAAAGGGUGCGUAGGCGGUCGAUUAAGUCUGAAGUAAAAGCCAGUGGCUCAACCACUGUUCGCUUCAGAAACUGGUCGACUAGAGUACAGAAGAGGCAAGUGGAAUUCCAUGUGUAGCGGUAAAAUGCGUAGAUAUAUGGAGGAACACCAGUGGCGAAGGCGGCUUGCUGGUCUGUAACUGACGCUGAGGCACGAAAGCGUGGGGAGCAAAUAGG